CACGUAGGGGGCGAGCGUUGUCCGGAUUUAUUGGGCGUAAAGAGCUCGUAGGCGGCUCAGUAAGUCAGGUGUGAAAACUCCAGGCUCAACCUGGAGACGCCACUUGAUACUGCUGUGGCUAGAGUCCGGUAGGGGAGACUGGAAUUCCUGGUGUAGCGGUGAAAUGCGCAGAUAUCAGGAGGAACACCGGUGGCGAAGGCGGGUCUCUGGGCCGAUACUGACGCUGAGGAGCGAAAGCGUGGGGAGCGAACAGG
rnacentral:rRNA from 1 species